GACGAACGCUGGCGGCGUGCCUAAUACAUGCAAGUAGAACGCUGAAGGAGGAGCUUGCUCUUCUGGAUGAGUUGCGAACGGGUGAGUAACGCGUAGGUAACCUGCCUGGUAGCGGGGGAUAACUAUUGGAAACGAUAGCUAAUACCGCAUAACAUUGACUAUUGCAUGAUAGUCAAUUAAAAGGUGCAAAUGCACCACUACCAGAUGGACCUGCGUUGUAUUAGCUAGUUGGUGGGGUAACGGCUCACCAAGGCGACGAUACAUAGCCGACCUGAGAGGGUGAUCGGCCACACUGGGACUGAGACACGGCCCAGACUCCUACGGGAGGCAGCAGUAGGGAAUCUUCGGCAAUAGACGGAAGUCUGACCGAGCAACGCCGCGUGAGUGAAGAAGGUUUUCGGAUCGUAAAGCUCUGUUGUAAGAGAAGAACGAGUGUGAGAGUGGAAAGUUCACACUGUGACGGUAUCUUACCAGAAAGGGACGGCUAACUACGUG
rnacentral:rRNA from 1 species